CGCUAGUAAUCGCGGGUCAGCAUACCGCGGUGAAUACGUUCCCGGGCCUUGUACACACCGCCCGUCACACCACGAAAGUUGGUAACACCCGAAGCCGGUGGCCUAACCCUUAGGGGAGGGAGCUGUCGAAGGUGGGACUGAUGAUUGGGGUGAAGUCGUAACAAGGUAAC
rnacentral:rRNA from 1 species